rnacentral:lncRNA from 1 species
UCUACUUCAUUCAUUUCAGCUUAAUCUUUCCAAUCCUAUUUUAUUUUAUUUACCUUAUUGAUUUUAUUAUCUUAUCCAAUUUUAUCUAAUUCCAUUUUAAUUAUUUAUUUUCUUUAUUUCAUUUACCUCUUUUAUUUUAUUUAUUCCAUCGUAUUUUAUUUCAUUUUCUUUUACCCCUUUUAUUUUGUUAUCCUUUACUUCAUUUUAUUUUCAUUCCAUCUUCUAAUUCCAUUUUAUUUAAUUC